GACGAACGCUGGCGGCGUGCUUAACACAUGCAAGUCGAACGGAAAGGCUCCAGCUUGCUGGAGUACUCGAGUGGCGAACGGGUGAGUAACACGUGGGUAAUCUGCCUUGCAUCUUGGGUUAGGCUGGGGAAAUUGGGCUAAAUACGGGUUUUGACUUUCCUCUUUUUGGGGUUGGGUGGAAAGUUUUUCGGUGUAGGAUGAGCCCGCGGCCUAUCAGCUUGUUGGUGGGGUGAUGGCCUACCAAGGCGACGACGGGUAGCCGGCCUGAGAGGGUGAUCGGCCACAUUGGGACUGAGAUACGGCCCAGACUCCUACGGGAGGCAGCAGUGGGGAAUAUUGCACAAUGGGCGGAAGCCUGAUGCAGCGACGCCGCGUGAGGGAUGACGGCCUUCGGGUUGUAAACCUCUUUCAGCAGGGACGAAGCGUAAGUGACGGUACCUGCAGAAGAAGCACCGGCUAACUAUGUG
rnacentral:rRNA from 1 species